UACGUAGGGGGCAAGCGUUGUCCGGAUUUAUUGGGCGUAAAGAGCGUGUAGGCGGCCAGAUAGGUCCGUUGUGAAAACUCGAGGCUCAACCUCGAGACGCCGAUGGAAACCAUUUGGCUAGAGUCCGGAAGAGGAGAGUGGAAUUCCUGGUGUAGCGGUGAAAUGCGUAGAUAUCAGGAGGAACACCAGUGGCGAAGGCGGUGCUCUGGGCCGGAACUGACGCUGAGGAGCGAAAGCGUGGGGAGCAAACAGG
rnacentral:rRNA from 1 species